ensembl:lncRNA novel transcript
AUGGCUGACACUGGAGCUUUGCCUGUUUUGCCACAUGGACCGCACGAAUGAAGCACCUCCUAGGACGUAAAUCAUCCUAAAGGGAAGAGGAAUCAGAUAUAUGGGGCUGGUUCAAUGGCAAAGACUAUGUCACCUGACAGGAGAAAGAACUUCUUUCUGAAUGUGGCAAUUAAAUGUGUGAUUCCAAGAAUGGAAGAUCAAAGGAAUCCAUACUAGUUUUAGCUGGAAAUCUGAUGCCUCAGACAUACCUCAGAGAUAUUGCAGGCUGGGUUCCAGAACACUACAAUAAAGUGAAUAUCGCUGUAAAACGAAUCACAUGAAUUUUUUGUUUCCCAGUGCAUUAUCAAAAGUCAGAAGCUGUUGGACUCAGACGUGGAGUACAAGUGAACCACAUAAGAGGAAAAUAUCGGGCUACGUUGAAAGAGGCAUCUCCAAGUACACAGAAAUGAGGACAUGUCUUGCAGGUGCAAAAAGUCCUCUUGCCUUCAUAAAGCUAUUUUUCUGAAGACAUUUUUCAUCAUUUUCCCUGGAGGGGAUAUGAGAGCUGUCCACUAAGAAUCUGCAGCCUCUUUUGGGGGUCUUCCACGGAUUCACUGUGACCAAGGAAACAAGCUGUUACCUAGCAACACGGCCCUUCAGGAGCUUCAGAAGAAGAAGUGAGAUUUUCCUGUAACAGUAUGAAGAAUAACUGGUUGGGAAACAAGACACAAACUGAGAAAAAUUCCAUGGAUUUACUGUAUGAAGAAGUGAAAUAAAAUAGCUGAGUUAGUUUUGGGCAAUGUUUCCACUCUUCCGGGAAGAAUGAAGUACAUAUGCAACCUACCUUUUGUUAUAGGAGUGUUGGCCAUGACCCUUAUGACGGAUGGGGAAAGACAUCACAUCCUUCCUCUCCUACUUGCAGAAAUAUGAAUACUCAAGGUUAAUGUCAAGGACGUUUGUUCCACUUCGCAUCUGAAUUGACAAGGAAUGGACUCUUCAGCUCUGACAGCAAAUCUCUCUUCAGAAGUCUGGAAAAGCAGAAAGAGAAGAAUGAAGAAAUGUCCACAAAACUGCUCCUAUCCUUUACACCACAUAGGACCAAACUCUUACCUUUCAUCAGUUUUCAGUUUGUACAUUAAUGUAUCCUGGUGAAGUUCCUCAACCACUUCUGCAACAUUCAAUUUUAAUUUAUAUUUGCCCACAUCAUUUCAUUUGUGAUUUGGACACAUGCAGGCUACUGAAUAUAAUGGAUACAAAUCUCUCACUGAUUCCCUUGAGCUAUUUCAUAGUUCUGCUUUCACAGGCAGGAGACAGUGAAGAAAUAAUGAUUCAGUUAUUUCUUAAAGAUUUCACAAUUCUACAUUCAAUAAAGAAUAUGUGAAUUCCUGGAA